GCAUGGCCGAAUUCUGCAUUGCUUUGACCAUAGUGUUUGCAGUCAGACACCAUGCGAGAUAAUCCCUUCACCGUCCUGUUGGGUUUGUGGCCAGAUAAACUUGUCUAAUCACGAGAGGGGCGGUGAGCACAGUG